UACGGGGGGAGCAAGCGUUGUUCGGAUUUACUGGGCGUAAAGGGCGCGUAGGCGGCCUGUUAAGUCGAACGUGAAAUCCCUGGGCUCAACCCGGGAACUGCGUCCGAUACUGGCAGGCUUGAAUCCGGGAGAGGGAUGCGGAAUUCCAGGUGUAGCGGUGAAAUGCGUAGAUAUCUGGAGGAACACCGGUGGCGAAGGCGGGCA
rnacentral:rRNA from 1 species